rnacentral:lncRNA from 1 species
UAAACGUCUGUUCAACCAUCCGAGACUGCUCAUCAAGUCGUUUUCGAAGAAACGAUCUUGUUGGUGGAUCAGAUCCUUCGCCACCAUCCUCGUCACAAUCAUUCAUUAUCCCUUCAUUGAGAACGCAGGUGUUCCUGUUAGGGAUUUCAAGACUGCGAAACUGACUGCCGAGAUUAACUUCCCUUUCUCGACGAGUCACGCUCGUGGACUCAGGUGUCACGGCGCUAAUGGGAUUCUGCGUCUGCGGCACACUUUGUCCUAUGUUCUGAAUUGGCAAAUCGGCUGUUAAUUUUCCCAUAGUUGUUUUCUUUUUUACUGAUCACGUUUCAAUUGGCAUGAACUUCGUAGUUUAGCACUGGGUCCCACUGGGCGUGCCAAAAUGUUGACCAUAAAAACUACCAAGCCUACGUGGUGCGCAGGCCGAGUAAUCUAUAAGCUAACUACGUCCUUCGGUGAAUGCGGGGCGUGCCAA